AGUCGAGCGGGGUUGUUUUUCACACCUAGGUUUUCACCAGGGGUCAGUGGGGCGCCGGCGCGAAGCGCAGGCAGAAGAAAAGAAGAGGAGCAGGCACGAUCCUGCGCUUCACGCUUUUUUAAAUACGACUGACACAUACGGGGUGGAGAAAUAGGUGUGGAAAACAACUUAGCGGCGGACGGGUGAGUAACACGUGAGCAACCUGCCAUACAGAGGGGGAUAACGUCUGGAAACGGACGCUAAUACCGCAUAACAUCACGAGGUGGCAUCAUCUUGUGAUCAAAGGAGCAAUCCGCUGAAUGAUGGGCUCGCGCCCGAUUAGAUAGUUGGUGAGGUAAUGGCCCACCAAGUCUGCGAUCGGUAGCCGGACUGAGAGGUUGAACGGCCACAUUGGGACUGAGACACGGCCCAGACUCCUACGGGAGGCAGCAGUGGGGAAUAUUGCACAAUGGGGGAAACCCUGAUGCAGCGAUGCCGCGUGAGUGAAGACGGUCUUCGGAUUGUAAAGCUCUGUUGACGGGGACGAUAAUGACGGUACCCGUUUAGAAAGCCACGGCUAACUACGUGCCA
rnacentral:rRNA from 1 species